rnacentral:tRNA from 1 species
GGGAAGUUGGCUCAGUGGUAGAGUGCUUGCCUUGCAUGCAUGAGGCCCUGGGUUCAAUUCCUCAGCAUCACA